rnacentral:rRNA from 1 species
GUCUACAGCCAUUUCAUCCUGACCAUGCCUGAUCUGGGAAGCUAAGCAGGGUUGAGCUUGAUUAGUACUUGGGGAGUGGUCCUCAAAGGUAUACACCCCCUCUGCAGCCA